ensembl:lncRNA
AGCAACGUCUGGAUUAAAAAGUAAAACGAUAACAUUAAGAACAAUUAAUCUUGGACGUGACAUGGUGAGCGACGUGACACGGCUUGAGAAACACAAUAAAGCUGUGAGGAGGCCUCCUCUGUCCUCUAAUUGAAAUCACACAUCAGCUGUGUGUGUAACAUGGGCUGCUGCCUCCCACAGCCCCGGGGAAGGGAGCACCCAGCCCUCAUCCCGGGAGGUGGGGUAAAAUGAGUCAUUCUGAUUGAUUGAGGGUGAAAGCUUCCCCCCCCCCCCAACCCCCACAGGUUUAAUCAGCAAUUGCAGAGCUGUGGGCAGGAGAGCAGGUGUUGGGGCUCAGCCCCAUAGGUUGGUAGGUGCUUCUAGCAUUUUCCUGCUUUGCUAUAGCUUUUAGAGAUGGUUUUUGUUUCUCAGGUGACUAUAUGGGAGAGGACAAAUCCUAGCCCUGCCUCCAGCCCCACCACCUUGCUUUUUCCAUCUCCUCUGCCAGGUGCACGUGGUGUGGGACCAGGCUGAACCCAGCAGCAAGCCUGGGGGAUGCCUUGUGCAAGGGGUUGUCCUGGCUCUCUGUGUUCAGCAGUUCCUGGUAAGCUCAGUGCUGUGGGUCACUUGCUUGCUUUUUACUGCCAUUUCUAGGUGGGGCAGUUGGCUGGCCCUCAUGGGCUGGUACAGGCCAGGGAGGAGUAUAGGACAGCCAAAAGCAGGGAGUACACAGCAGAGCAACAGGCUAUAAGAAUACAAUCUUGCGCUAAGAAUAGGAGAGGCUAUUAAAGCUGGAUGGUACGUGGGGGAUUUCUGUAGGCAUGUGCUGGGGCUGUUAGCUGGGAAGCAGUCGUCUGCAAUACAAGUUGGUAUGGCAAGGCCAGGGGCUACAAGGUUACUGCAGGAGCUGCCAGCACAGCUCCCCAUCCUCCACGCAAUGUUCUGGUCUUCAGUUGGAAAUAAAGUAAAACUCCUAAACCUCUGGUGAGAUUUAUUGUCCUGUCAGCAGUGAAAACCUCAACUCAGUGUUACGCUGCCAGCUCCGGUGGACUAGUCCCUCUGUGAUACAGGACGGAUGUGUGUUUGGUUUUCUGUUGUUGGUUUUUUUUAUUAAGACAGCUUUGAGCUUGGAUGAGCACCCCAAACAGUCAGAAAACAACCCUCAGACCAGGCAGUUGCUGGAGCAGCAAUCAGCCUGCUCUGAGCAGCUCUCAGUGCUUGGCACUGUGUCUGCAACAGUGCUGCUCUGUUGCAGUGGGGAUGGAACUUCCCAAGCUCUGCAAGGGGCUGCAGCAAGACUUAAGGGUUGUGCUGCUUGGUUUGUGGUGACUUCUCUUUGGGCUUCAUGUGAGAAAAUGUGCAUCCUGGGGAGAGGCCUUCCCACCCUGUAUCCGACAAGCCAACCCCAGCCCACAUGUGGUACAGCUGGAAAGCUUGGGGUCUCACUUGAGAUCAGUUACUCGAUAUGUUAAAAAGAGGUUUGGAGGUGGGAGCACAAGCUAUGACUGCAGAAGCCUCUUAGUAUGUUGAGAUUCAAAGGGUAGAAAUGCCUUAUUUAGCUCACCAGCUCAACUGUAAUGCAGGGAGAACCAAGCUGGAAAGGCCCUGGCAUGCUGUGCCUGCAGAACAGAAGAGGGAGCUUAUCUGGGGGCUGCUCAGUGAUGAUAUUCCCCUCUCCACUGGGCAGUUACAAAAAACUGAUGGCUUCUUUGAGACUGAGGCUGCUUUGGGCUGGGGAAUAGGAAACUGCGGUGUUGAGUGGUAUGUGGGCAUUGCUCUUUGCUAGUUGUGUGACUGUUUUGCACCCUGCAGCUCCUCUGUGCUGGGGUACUCACCCUCCUGCUCUGAGCUGCUGGGCUGUGUACUGCCCACGUUCACAUCUGUGCAUCAGUGGGGGCAGAGCUGUAGAAUGGGUUUGCUUGUUUGUGAAGCUACCAAGUAAUGGGCUAGCUGUGGCCCAGGAGGGCUUGUGAAGAACUGUGGAGGCUCCUUAAAAGCCUGCCUUCCAACAGAGCUCUGGGGAGAGAUUUCCACAGCAGCAGUGGAAGUCUUUGCCCCACUUACUUGCAUCACUGCGCUUCAACUUCUCUGAAAUGUUGUCAUUAUGCUCAACCCAAGCUUGUAACUGCUCUGUUUUUCUGAGCGCACAAAAGUAAAGAUGUUUUACAGCAAUUCUCUGCUUUAACUGUCCCUUUUUGCACUGCUGUGUCCAUCUGCCCUUUUUCCCUAUCCGCUGCCACGGAGCCCUGCACAGCGAGAUGCCCGUGACGUGAGAUCUGACAGCUGUUUGUGGUGCAGCUUUAAAACCUCAGCCCAGAUGUGGGCAGCAGCUGCUUUCCCAGUCUGCAUUGGAAACGGGUGUGCAGAAGCUGAAGCGGGAUAGAGCAGUUUGGCAGUGAAUCUCCUUCUCCUGAGGUGCCGCAUAUAUGGGGGAAUUCCUGUUUGCCCAGCCCUCCCUAAGCAAAAGCCAUGCUCAGGUGGGCGGUGUUCUGCAAGGCCGUGCUAAUUCUGCCCAAUGGAGCACGUGCUGAGCACUUGGGAUGCCUCGUGCUGCAGCAGUGAAGCCGUGUCCCAGCACCCUCCUGCUCCUGGGGCUGCUGCUGGGCCUGCCUCGGAGCUGCCCUGUGCAGGGAGUCAGCCCGGAGCCUGCCCCAAAAUAGCUUUGUUCUGGCAGCCUGGUGGACUGUUAUUCCUAACCUCCGGGUCAAGCAAGGUAGUGGUGACGCAAUGGAAAACCAUGGUCUGUGUGUGCUGUCACUGCAGCGGCUCAUCCAUCAGCUGCACCCUGACCCAUGCUGGGCUGCCCGUGGGGAAGGGUGAUGGCCCCGAUGCUGCUUUGCCACUGGGCUUCCCCUGAGCAGCAUCUCAUCAGUGGGGUGGAAUGCUCUUUUGUAUGCAGUGAUCUGGUGGCUGUGCACAUCCUGCUGGCACCCUGCUAUCAGGCCUCCUCACCUCCGGUGCUGCUGUAGGCAUAGGGUCCAUGCUCCUGCCAUGCCCUUCUAUGCAAUUACAGCUUUCAAUUUGAAUUCAAACCUGCUUCCUGCUUGCCUUUGUGUUACCGGGGUGAGCAAACAAACACCUGCCAGCAGGCUCUGAGGGCCACGUGGCUGCCAGCCUGUCCUUGCUGUGUGUGUGCUCAUGUGCACGCUAUCUCUGGCCUUGUUUGGGCUGGGCUGGGCCACGCUUUGCAAGUGUGUGCUGAGCUGUUGGGGUGUAACUGUGCUGCUGAUAGCAAAGGGAAAGCACCCUGCUGUUCUUGGCUGGGAGAGGGCCCUGGCCUCACUUGAACUCAGCAUAGAGAAGUGCGGAGUGCUCAGACAAAUUCUGAAGAAUAAUUCAGUAUUGAUUAUCCAUCUUCCCACUGAACUUCUGGAGGUGGAGGCUUUGGGUUGCCGUUCCCAGUGCUGCAGCACAGGACUGCUUUGUGCAGCUGCAGCAUCUGGGUGACCCCAUCUAUGGGCAGAGUGGCAAAGAUGCUGCUGGGCUUUCUCCUUCUCUUUUUUCCUCUUGCAUUGCAGAACAAAAAUUGGAUUUUCUUGCAUGGCAGAACAAAAACUGAAGCGCACUCAUUAGUGAACCACACUACAUUUGGUCAGGGUGAGCAGUAAGGAGGGAAAAAAAAAAAUGGAAAUGAACUCAGCUGCAAACGAUAUAUUCAGAACUUGUUCUCUAUUGGUGAUGGAUGAGCAGCCCCUCCUGGGUGGGAGGUGGGCCUCUGCAGCAGUGUCUGAUGGAGGGCAUUUUUCUGUCCCCUUCUCUCUGCUCUCCCUGCCAGGCAGUCAGACCUAUUGACCAGCAGCUGUGUUUGUUUUUCCACGGCUGUUGGGAUUAUAGCAGUGCUAUCAGUGGAACCGAACCUCUGGGGCUGCAGGUGGUAGGGCCUCUGCUCCUGGGCUUCUUGGGGAGGGUGAGUGUCUCACGUGGGGUUCCACAACACCGAAUACAAGGCGACCCUGCUGGGACUGCUGGUAAAGACAAAUGGGCCCUACAAGCAGCAGCAGCAGUGCUGUAUAUUUGGACUUGCAGAUGGAAGUGGGGAGAAAUGGGUCGCGUAGCUGGAGUCACUGAGCCCUCCAGUGCUGUGCUCUGAAAUAAGGGCAGGAAAAUGCCUUCGCUCUGAAGGUGCUGCUGUUUUGCUGGUGCUUUGCUCUGGUGGCCAAGCUGGAGCAGCUUUGAGAUAGGACUGUGUCUGGACUGCCCAAAUGUUUACGUGUGACUGCUGGCUUCUGGUAGCUGGUUCAGUUGUGCACACCCACAGGCAGAGGAUUUACUGCCAAAGCUGCCCGUCCCGAUAAACACCCAUCCUUGACCUGCAGCCCAAUAAGGCCCCAGGAAGCAGCUCACCCUGGCUGAUAAAACCAUCCAAGCUGCUGCUCCAGCCCUGUGCAUGUGGGUACAGCCGGGACAACAUCUGCCUCUGUUGCGUGCUGCAUUGAGCUCAUACCUGGGCACUCUGCGUUGCUUCUCCCAUCCCAGCCAAAACAAAUGCAAUCUGCUCUCGUGUAUGCUGCAAGAGCCCUGCCAGGAACAAAGAGGAACUCAAAUAUUUGUGCUCAGUUGUUGCUCUUUCCAUUCAGGCAAUAAGUGCCAACUGCUGCAGAGCCUGGCAGUGUGGGAUUUCCGCUGGGCUGGCUCUGGCUUCACAGCCCUGCCGAGAUGAAACACCUACAAUUAACAGCUGGGCUCUAAGCUGGGGAAGAUGACUGAGGGUGAUUGAAAUCUGGCCUUCAAAACAAAACAAAAAGCCUGCGUCAAAUGGAGAACCUGUGUUACUGCCUGGGCUGCUAGCUGUCUGUCUGUGCACAAAUACCUCAGAACUCCUGGAGAGAGGGGGAAAAAACAUCAAUUCAAACUGCCUUUCGUUGGAAAGCCCCACACUCAAAGCUGUGUGGAGGGCUGAGAUUCUCCAGGUGUGGAGCUAUUAUAUGGAUGAGAUGUUUGCAGAGUAAUUACAUAAUGAGCUUCAGAUCUCAGCUGCUUGGUCCCAGGGAAGCUGCUGUGCUUCAGCACUUGGUAGGGCCAGGGAUAGGGCAGUGAAAGGACCGAGUGUGAACUCAGCAACGAAGCUGUGCUGCUGAUGUCAGUGGGCCCCUUCAAAGCUGAGGGGAUAAAGGAGGGACAGGCAUACCCAGCACCAGGAGUUCACGUGCCAUUCUGCCAGAAUGGAGUUUGGAGAGUCCUGGGAAAGCCCACAUUGCCUCGGUGGGUUGGUCCAGGAGCAGGAUGCUGUAACAUGGAUGGUGGAUGCUUCUGCCCUGGUACCUCACCUGGAUCCUUUCUGAAUGACGUGCUGAUGGUACAUGGGCUGUAAAAUAAGCUGUGAGUCUUUCCACAUUUCUUCUUGGUUGUUUUGGGUGGGGUUUUUUUUGUAUGCAAUCAGUUUUUGCAAGUUCUUGUGCAAGUGAUGCAGUCUGGGGUAAGGCUUGGGCUCUGUGUGGUUGGCACGGGCUGGUCACUCAGGUCUGGACAUCUCUGUGUGCUCUUGUGUGUGAAUUCUACCUUUUUCCAUUCCUCUUUCUCGAUAGGGCUUUGGGUGCUCUGUUAUGCUCAGAGCACCAUAUUGCUGCCAGCCCUCACUCACUGCAGUCUGGGCUGAGUAACCUCCUUUCCUUGACAAAUUCUGAUUGCCUUCUCCAGUCAAUGUGGGAUUUUUCCAUUAGCCCCACAAUUCCUUUUUUUCACUCAGAAAUUUCUUAUCAGGAAUUCAUUAGCCCUGAAAUGUGAAGGACUGACUCUUCAGUCUUAACCACCUUUUAUAAUUACCUCCUCUCUGAGCUGUACUUGGAAAGAUGUCUCCUGAGUUCCAUUUUACACAGCGUGCAGCACUCCCCUUAUUUCUGUAUUAUGGCAUAAAAUUAAAUCAUCUCUACUUCAGCUGACUGAAAAGCUACUAGAAACUUCAAGAGCUUCAGGAAAAAAACUACUGUCAGAGAUGAGGCUUCUUCUGGCUUGUUUUUUAGUUGCACACAUUGCACACAGCAGAUGAGAAGCGCUGUUUGUCUGCUUCAGUAGCUGUCUGCACUUCCAAAAAGGAUGGGUUUUGGCAGCUCCUUGAGCUCCCUGCUUCUUCCUGAGGUCACUGCUGAGAUGGUAUCCUCACAAAGCACUGUCCUGGCAGAGCAGCGUGCCUAGCAGGGCUGCAAGAAAUGCAUGUACAAAAAUGUGGAUAUUCCAAGCAGAGUGUAAAGGUGGAUCGAUUCUAUAGGGUCCACAUUAGAAAUGCUAAAGCUCAGUAUGUCAGCUUGGCCUGACCCCGCUGUUUGCUGACACUUGAGGAGGCAGCAGAAGUUAAAUCCCUCAUGUUCCUGGAGCUCCUGCGCUGCCAGUGGGUUGAGGUCAAAGGAACAAGUGCAGGGAGAGAACUGUGGCAAACAGCUUUCCUUUUUCAACACGACACAAACCCUUCGCAGGGUUAUGCAUACAUCAUUGUCUGGUAAGGAGCAAUUGACUGAUAACAGCUCCUGCAGCCAGCACUGGGCGUACCAUUGGGAACUUCCUGGAAAACACCUGUACACAGCAAACCUGUUACAAUGAGCUGGCUGAUAAGGGGUAUUGCACUUCAAUGGAGUUAGCUCGUGAACGUGGGAGAGGCCUUGGUUUCUUGAACAACAGUAAGAAAGGGCAGAUGUUAUGUAAGUCAGCCGUGCGUAGCCACUCACUGUGUGCAGUACAGAACUGGAGUAAUGCUGCCUUUCAUUGCAGCACACAGUGAAUCUGGAACAUCCUCACUAUUUAUCUUUCUCUGAAGCUGUUUGCAUCUUGUCCCCUGCCAGAGGUGAGCAGGAAGGUAUCUCAGCAGCCUUGUAGUCCAGCAGCCCAGUGGUUCUUCAUUCCCACUAUCAAAAUAGCCUAAUGUUGGCAAGUUAAAAGCUGAAGAGCUGGCAAGAAUUUGCUACAGAAGAGCAGUGAAGGGCCAGCCCAAACUCAGCAUGCGUGUGCUACUCAGGACCUGCUGACCCCUGCUACUGGCAGGGAUGCGAAGGAAUUCACUGCUGCCAUGCAUAGUGAUGCCUUUAUGUGGGCAAAGCUGUGCUGACAGGGGGAGCUGAGACGUUUCCUGUGUGAUGCAGACAGACAUGUGCCUCUUCUGUGCCACGAGAGAUCUGGCUAAAUUAGCACGGGGAGGGCAUCUCAUUUGUCAUGCAACAACAGAUCAUCUGUGAUUCAAAUAAGAGUAUGCUUAUGUUGUUAAAAUGGCAUCAUUUGCUGCAGGGUGUAUUUGUCUAACUGAAUCCAACCACAGAGAAUUUCUCUAAUCAAAUGAGGUCGGUUUGACAUGGGUGGCUCUGUGGGCUGCAGCUCAUGCUCAGUGCCAUGUUGACUCUCAGGGGCUGUUGAUGGCUCUAUUUUGAUUGUUCCUGUUUGUUUUUCUGUUUUACCCUAAAUGCUGUUGGGGCAUCCUAAUUGCAUAUAGAGGGACGCUGCAGCUCACUCUAAGAAGAAUUGCAUUGCCCAUCUAGAAAGAUGCAAUCCUUCCAGCUCCCAUCCACAUGCAGUGGUUGGCAUGAGACACGCACACAGGAGAGAACAUGAGCGUGCACCUUGCUCUGGCUGCUCUCCCUGCUCGUGCCUAAUGGCUUGCUCUGCGUCAGCAUCACGGGGAUACUGCUUCUGUGCCUUAUGCAACAGCUGUACCCAUACAUGUAGCAGCACAUUUCUUAGCAUGGCCUAAUUUGAUGUCCCAUGACACAUUAAACUGAUGUCACAGUGGCUGCACAGCUUUCAAGUUGAUUCUGUUCCUAAGCACACAGACUGGCAAUAAGCGGGUCCUCUGCUGGCACAAGUAGGUGCAGUUGGCUUUAUUGCUUCUGGAUGAGGUUUGUACACAAGUGAGAUGGGACAUUCUCUGGCUCCUGCUCUCAGCAGGGCAGCCUGCACAGUGGGAAAGGUCUCAUAUGAAAGCGUGUGAUCUGGGGUCUGUGAAGUGCUUGGAGGUUAUUUCAUGAAAGGUGUUAUGUUAGUUUAAAAGAUGGUCUGUUUACAGAAAAAAUCUCAUUUUCAAUAUAAUCUCUGCGAUCUGAAGGAAGUUAUGACAAAUCCUCAUCUUAUAAACUACAGGAUGAUGUCAUCAUCAAAAAAUAAACAAGUUCUCUUCUACCAAAGAGUUCCAGUGUUCCCCUCUUUCUCCUUGAUGCCACUUAUACAGGGCACUUUUGCCUUCUUUUCUCCUGUAUCCUUAUUUUCUUCUCCAGGAUCUGUAUCUCUAUUAAUAUCUAGCAUUGUUGGAAUGGCGCAAAGUGUAAUUACUUGAACCAAAUGGGUUGUGAUGUUUUAAAUGCGAAAUGUUUGUGUUGCUCUCUGGACUUGGGUCUAUAUUUAUUAUGGUUGCAGAACAGAGUUUCAAAUAAGCCAUCAGGAUCCCAGAUAUGUUAAGGGUUAGGUUGAGACUGAACACCAAAUUAAAGGUGACAGAGCUCUUUCUACCCCCUGUGAAUCCCCCAGUGGACACGCUUUCCCUUACUGAUCCUGUCAUGCUCUUUUGGAUUGAUGUCUGCUCAGCAACCAGCAUCCCAGGUGCUUCUAUGGCCUCUGCUAUGCAGUCUGGAAGCAUUUCCAAACUCCUGGGUGCAGUCAGACUGCCCUUCCAUGCUCUGUGCACAGGGUCAGCUCUGCAGCGGGCUGUUCCUGCUACGGAGUUCAGCAAGUGUACAGUGUUGUGGCAGAAGGAAGGCAAGCUAACCUUGGUUACGGUACUUCUCAUGUGGUUCAUUUAAGGCUACUUUCUGGUUUUAUCUCUUCAUUUUGUUAUUUGCAGUGAAAUAAAGGAGAACUGAAUUUAAAUAUAA